CACGUAGGGGGGCGAGCGUUGUCCGGAUUUAUUGGGCGUAAAGAGCUCGUAGGCGGCUCAGUAAGUCAGGUGUGAAAACUCCAGGCUCAACCUGGAGACGCCACCUGAUACUGCUGUGGCUAGAGUCCGGUAGGGGAGCAUGGAAUUCCUGGUGUAGCGGUGAAAUGCGUAGAUAUCGGAAAGAACACCAGUGGCGAAGGCGACUUACUGGGCUAAUAUUGACGCUGAGGUGCGAAAGCGUGGGGAGCAAACGGG
rnacentral:rRNA from 1 species